AGCAGCCGCGGUAAUUCCAGCUCCAAUAGCGUAUAUUAAAGUUGUUGCAGUUAAAAAGCUCGUAGUUGAAUUUCGGGGUCAGUAGGUCGGUCGUGCCACUGGUAUGAACUGGUCUCACUGAUUCCUCCUUCUUGAAGAACCGUAAUGUCAUUAACUUGGUGUUGCGGGGAAACAGGACUGUUACCUUGAAAAAAUUAGAGUGUUUAAAGCAGGCUAGCGCCUGAAUACAUUAGCAUGGAAUAAUGAAAUAGGACGUUCGAUCCUAUUUUGUUGGUUUCUAGGAUUGACGUAAUGAUUAAUAGGGAUAGUUGGGGGUCAUUAGUAUUCAAUUGUCAGAGGUGAAAUUCUUGGAUUUAUUGAAGACUAACUACUGCGAAAGCAUUUGCCAAGGAUGUUUUCUAUUAAUCAAGAACGAAAGUUAGGGGAUCGAAGACGAUCAGAUACCGUCGU
rnacentral:rRNA from 1 species